rnacentral:rRNA from 1 species
UGGCGGCGUGCUUACACAUGCAAGUCGAACGAGAAAUCUUUAGCUUGCUAGAGAAAGUAAAGUGGCGCACGGGUGAGUAACGCGUGGGUAAUCUGCCUCCGAAUCGGGGAUAACAUUGCGAAAGCGAUGCUAAUACCGGAUAAAAUCUGGUUGGCUUCGGUGAACCGGAUCAAAGGUGGUCUCUUUAUAAAAGCUACCGUUUGGAGAUGAGCUCGCGUACCAUUAGCUAGUUGGUGAGGUAAAGGCUCACCAAGGCGACGAUGGUUAGCUGGUCUGAGAGGAUGAUCAGCCACACCGGAACUGGAACACGGUCCGGACUCCUACGGGAGGCAGCAGUGAGGAAUUUUGCGCAAUGGGGGAAACCCUGACGCAGCAACGCCGCGUGAGUGAUGAAGGCUUUCGGGUCGUAAAGCUCUGUCGGGUGGGAAGAACCCACCAAGUGUUAAGACCACUUGGUGCUGACGGUACCACCGAAGGAAGCACCGGCUAACUCCGUGCCAGCAGCCGCGGUAAUACGGGGGGUGCGAGCGUUAUUCGGAAUCAUUGGGCGUAAAGGGCGCGCAGGCGGUUUUGUAAGUCAGAUGUGAAAUCCCGGGGCUUAACCCCGGAAGUGCAUAUGAAACUAUGAGACUUGAGUAUGGGAGAGGGAAGCGGAAUUCCUGGUGUAGCGGUGAAAUGCGUAGAUAUCAGGAGGAACACCGGUGGCGAAGGCGGCUUCCUGGACCAAUACUGACGCUGAGGCGCGAAGGCGUGGGGAGCGAACAGGAUUAGAUACCCUGGUAGUCCACGCAGUAAACGUUGAUCACUAGGUGUAGUGGGUAUUGACCCCUGCUGUGCCGGAGUUAACGCAUUAAGUGAUCCGCCUGGGGAGUACGAUCGCAAGAUUAAAACUCAAAGGAAUUGACGGGGGCCCGCACCAGCGGUGGAACAUGUGGUUUAAUUCGAUGCAACGCGAAGAACCUUACCUGGGCUUGACAUAUAUAUGGCGUAUGUAAGAAAUUAUGUAUUCUGUCUGUUUUUUCAGAUAGCAUAUAUACAGGUGAUGCAUGGCUGUCGUCAGCUCGUGUCGUGAGAUGUAGGGUUAAGUCCCUUAACGAGCGCAACCCUUGCUUUUAGUUGCCAUCAGGUAAUGCUGGGGACUCUAGAAGGACUGCCGAGGUUAACUCGGAGGAAGGUGGGGAUGACGUCAAGUCAGUAUGUCCCUUAUGUCCAGGGCUACACACGUGUUACAAUGGUCGGUACAGAGUGACGCUAAUCCACGAGGUGGCGCCAAUCACUUAAAGCCGAUCCCAGUUCGGAUUGGAGUCUGCAAUUCGACUCCAUGAAGUUGGAAUCGCUAGUAAUCGCAGAACAGCAUGCUGCGGUGAAUACGUUCACCGGGCCUUGUACACACCGCCCGUCACGCCAUGGAAGUUGGGAGUACCCGAAGUUGCUGUCCAUACGUUGGAUGUAACUAAGGUAAGACCGAUAACUGGGGCGAAGU